rnacentral:rRNA from 1 species
CGGGGUGCACCAGGCGCGAAACCUUUACAAUGCGGGCAACCGCGAUAAGGGGAUCUCGAGUGCCGACAUCUAAUGUCGGCUGUCGUGAUGCCUAAAAAGCAUUAUAUAGUAAGGGCCGGGCAAGACCGGUGCCAGCCGCCGCGGUAACACCGGCGGCUCGAGUGGUGACCGCUAUUAUUGGGUUUAAAGGGUCUGUAGCCGGCCGGAUUAGUCUCUUGGGAAAUCUGGCCGCUUAACGGUCAGGCUUUCAGGAGAUACUGUCUGGCUCGAGGCCGGGAGAGGUGAGAGGUACUUCAGGGGUAGGGGUGAAAUCUUGUAAUCCUUGAAGGACCACCAGUGGCGAAGGCGUCUCACCAAAACGGACCUGACGGCAAGGGACGAAAGCUAGGGGCACGAACCGGAUUAGAUACCCGGGUAGUCCUAGCCGUAAACGAUACUCGCUAGGUGUCGGCCGCGGUGCGACCGUGGUCGGUGCCGUAGGGAAACCGUGAAGCGAGCCACCUGGGAAGUACGGCCGCAAGGCUGAAACUUAAAGGAAUUGGCGGGGGAGCACAAGGGCGAAUUCGCG